AUUUAAUCUUUAGAGACCUGGUAAAGGAUGUAACGUAACAGAAUGCGUUUUCACUUUUACAUAACCUUAAAGUACCACAAGUGAUGUAAGACAGUUUGGGAUUGCAGUUGUCUUGGCUCUGAGUGUCAUUGUGACUAGCUGUCCACAAGACGUCACAGUGGCUCAUUCAGUACUUAAUUAACCCUGCUAAGCCAUUUGGAAAGUGGCCAGUUUUUUUUUUUCCUGAAUGAUGCCUUAGAGUUGACAGCAUUUAGAAGGAAAAAUAACUUUAUAAAAUCUAACGCUCAUGCUGUAGUGUUCAUUCCUACCUAUAAUCUCUAGUCCCUGCAGUGAGAAGUUCGGAUACUUGGUCACAGUUACCCACUGUGUUUGAGUUAAGUGAACUGGCAUUUUAACUGAAGUGAAAGGCAAGUUUCUUCUUAACUCUGCCCAGUUGUGAAGAAGUCAUUCCUUCCUAGGUGUUUCUGUCCCGGCUUAGAGCAUCUGUUACUUAAACCUGUCACUCCUGUG
rnacentral:lncRNA from 1 species